GCCGAUAUAGCUCAGCGGUAGAGCGCUUCCUUGGUAAGGAAGAGGUCUCGGGUUCAAGUCCCGAUAUUGGCUC
rnacentral:tRNA from 1 species